GUUUGCCUUUGUAAACAUGGUGUUCAGCACCAAGGAUAGGCAUGUUUGUAUGUGGAUGGUGUUCAGCACCAAGGACAUGUAUGUUUGCCU
rnacentral:pre_miRNA from 1 species